rnacentral:rRNA from 1 species
GAUGAACGCUGGCGGCGUGCCUAAUACAUGCAAGUCGAGCGAACGGACGAGAAGCUUGCUUUUCUGAUGUUAGCGGCGGACGGGUGAGUAACACGUGGAUAACCUACCUAUAAGACUGGGAUAACUUCGGGAAACCGGAGCUAAUACCGGAUAAUAUUUUGAACCGCAUGGUUCAAAAGUGAAAGACGGUCUUGCUGUCACUUAUAGAUGGAUCCGCGCUGCAUUAGCUAGUUGGUAAGGCAACGGCUUACCAAGGCAACGAUGCAUAGCCGACCUGAGAGGGUGAUCGGCCACACUGGAACUGAGACACGGUCCAGACUCCUACGGGAGGCAGCAGUAGGGAAUCUUCCGCAAUGGGCGAAAGCCUGACGGAGCAACGCCGCGUGAGUGAUGAAGGUCUUCGGAUCGUAAAACUCUGUUAUUAGGGAAGAACAUAUGUGUAAGUAACUGUGCACAUCUUGACGGUACCUAAUCAGAAAGCCACGGCUAACUACGUG